AGUCCUCCCAGAUAGUUCCUUUAUGCCUCUUCCUAGUUAAGCCCCAACCCCCUCACAACAGCAACAACUAGUUGAUUUCAAUCCUCGUAAAUUAGUUUUGCCUGUCUUAGAAUUCGUAAAAUCUACAGUGAGACAGUAUAAAAGGAAGAACAAAGAAACGGGAAGGAGGAAACAAGGAAGAAACAAAACCAUAAAGAAUCUGAAGAGUACAAUAUGAUUACUAGCUGCCAUGUGAAGAAGGAUGUGUUUGCUUCCCCUUCUGCCAUGAUUCUGUUUCCUGAAGCCUCCUCAGCCCUGCAGAACUCAUGGUGACUGGAUUCCAAGGGAAACUGUAUCAAGAAAAAGAGCACCAAACAAAAGUCAUGUCACCUUUCCUGACCAGUGAUGCAGCUUCCAUUCUACCACAUUCCAUUCAUCAAGAAUGUGAUGGUUGGAGCUGUUGUAGCUGUAUUACAACCAGGAGGAAAGACUUUGCUGACGUACUAAGGAUGGAAACUAAAAAAAGUUCUUUAGAUCAAGAGGAACUACUUGAAGAGCAGCACUCAACAAAUCUGCACAUCGACCUGGUUUAAAUGCUAAGAUCCUGCCCUUGUAGAUUUGAUGCCAUAAUGAUGAGACUUUCACAAGGUCAAGGGAGAAGUCCUCUACAGUCUUCUUAUUCUGCAAAGAUUCACUUUCAAGACUGCAAAUAUGAAUGCUGGGAUUCAUCGAGGAAUUUCCAGUGAAGCCCAGGAAACAAAUUAAGAUGUGGCUUUGAGAAAUAACACCAGUCAAACAUAAUUCUAGGGCUGGGCAAACAAGACUCUUCUUGUUUCUUCAGGGAGACUCUCAUUGCCAAGCUUGAAAAUGAUGAAGGGUUGGUCUUGGUGAAAAGAAGCUUAUGCAUCUGAGUUCUUAGAUGGAAACAAGCAAUAUGUAUGCAUCAACUUAGUCAUAAUAUUCUAGUUUACCACCACACAUAAAACUUAUUGUGCCUUUUCCCUUUGGUGUUUUUUUUUUUUUCUUCCAUGUGAACAGUCUUUUCUGAAGCAUAUAUACAACUCAGGCCAUAAAUUAAGGCACAUGUGCUUCUCUAUGAAAAUUCUGUGGCAUUAAAACUGAGACAAUCCAAAAAUUGUAAACUUUCUGUCAAAGUAAAAAAUAGCUAGAGGUUUCACCUUUGGUUGAUUUAGUAUUUCACUAAUUUAAUAAUUGUUAUUUUAAAAUGGUAAUUAAAUUUUCACUAGGAUUUUUUUAAGGUUAUUGCAUUUGAUGUCAUUUUAUGAACAAAUUAGUAAUUUAGGCUAAAGAAACCUAGCUGUUUUGGGUUCUGAAUUAUACUGGAAACAUCAUUCAUAGUAUGUAAUACACUGACAUAAGUGAAUUGAAUUUUAAACUAGGAUCAUUUUAAAAAUUAUAUUUGAAUUACCAUAUCUCUAAACUAAAUUCAUAGGAAAAUGAAACUGAAAUGUAGAUAAGGUAAUAUAUAACAGCAGGAAAAAUAUUUCCUUAUAAUACAAUUAUUCCACAUAUUUAUGAUUAUUUCAUUUUUAGAAAUAUAUUGUGUGCAUUGGAUUAUGUAUACUAUCUAUAUGGAUAAAUUUUCAAAUCAUGAAUAAAGCUUAAGACAUUUGUUACAAUAUUAAACAUCAACAUUUUGGGAUGCUACUAUAAUUCUAUUGGUUUGUGUUUGAUUCUAGCACUAUUUUUGGCUUCCAUUUACUUGUGAAAUCUUUAGAAUCAGCACCGCUAAUUCAUUCUGGUCAGUUUCCAGCUUUCACAGUAGCAGCAUGAAUAGAAUUUGCUACAGAUUCAGUUAUGGUAUCACAAUGAUUUAUUUUCCUUUUUAACAUAAAAUUUAUUUUUUAAUGUAAGCAAAACCUUU